GAGUUUGAUCGUGGCUCAGGACGAACGCUGGCGGCGUGCUUAACACAUGCAAGUCGAACGAGGUGCUUGCACCUAGUGGCGAACGGGUGAGUAACACGUGAGCAACCUGCCCCUGGCUCUGGGGUAGCCUCCGGAAACGGGGAUUAAUACCGGACAUUCACUUUCUUCCGCAUGGCGGUGAGUGGAAAGUUUUUCGGCCAGGGAGGGGCUCGCGGCCUAUCAGCUUGUUGGAGGGGUAACGGCCCACCAAGGCGACGACGGGUAGCCGGCCUGAGAGGGCGACCGGCCACACUGGGACUGAGACACGGCCCAGACUCCUACGGGAGGCAGCAGUGGGGGAAUAUUGCGCAAUGGGGGGAAACCCUGACGCAGCGACGCCGCGUGCGGGAUGAAGGCCUUCGGGUUGUAACCGCUUUCACCAGGGACGAAGCGAGAGUGACGGUACCUGGGGAAGAAGCGCCGGCUAACUACGUGCCAGCCGCCG
rnacentral:rRNA from 1 species